rnacentral:rRNA from 1 species
GACGAACGCUGGCGGCGUGCCUAAUACAUGCAAGUUGAGCGCUGAAGGUUGGUACUUGUACCAACUGGAUGAGCAGCGAACGGGUGAGUAACGCGUGGGGAAUCUGCCUUUGAGCGGGGGACAACAUUUGGAAACGAAUGCUAAUACCGCAUAAAAACUUUAAACACAAGUUUUAAGUUUGAAAGAUGCAAUUGCAUCACUCAAAGAUGAUCCCGCGUUGUAUUAGCUAGUUGGUGAGGUAAAGGCUCACCAAGGCGAUGAUACAUAGCCGACCUGAGAGGUGGAUCGGCCACAUUGGGACUGAGACACGGCCCAAACUCCUACGGGAGGCAGCAGUAGGGAAUCUUCGGCAAUGGACGAAAGUCUGACCGAGCAACGCCGCGUGAGUGAAGAAGGUUUUCGGAUCGUAAAACUCUGUUGGUAGAGAAGAACGUUGGUGAGAGUGGAAAGCUCAUCAAGUGACGGUAACUACCCAGAAAGGGACGGCUAACUACGUG